UGGUUUGGGCGUUUUCAGGCGGCCUCCUGAGAAAUGUUUGCAAUUGUAAGGCGUCUCUCUCAUCCAGGUUUACCCAGAUUCGCAAACUAUGGCGACAAACAACCAUAGCAGAAGCAUGUCCGGAUUAUUUCACAUAUAUCACAAAAUCCUGCAAAGGGUCUGUCCCCAUUGGAUCACCUCCCAUCACGCCACACACGACGUGAAUGACUUCGUGCUUCUCCAUACCUGCAUUGAUCUCUGGGUCCAUUGCCAGUUAUAAACCUCCAAGGGCAAUAGCCAUGAGGUGAUGUACAGUCAAGCAUCACUUAAUAACCAGGAUACAUUCUGAGAAAUUUGUCGUUAGGCAAUUUUUUCAUUGCACGAACCUCACAGAGUGUACUUACACUAACCUAGAUAGUAGCAUCCAGUAAACACCUGGGCUAUAUGGUCUAGCCUAUUGCUCCUAGGCUACAAACCUGUAUAGCAUGUUACUGUACUGAAUAUGUAGGCACUUGUAACACAAUGGUAAGUGUUUUUGUAUCUAAACAUAUCUAAACAUAGGAGAGGUAAUGCAUUGUGCUACAGCAUUACAAUGGCUAUGACAGACACUAGGCAAGCAGGUAACGAGGAGACCAAAGGCCUAGUUAUUUAUGGAGAUCUGGGGCCACAGCAGAGCUCCUCAUGGCAGGAUAAGGCAGUGGAAAGCAGACUCAACGGUUAACCCACAGUCCUCCUCAGCAAGCUGGGAGAAGCAACUGAUGCCACUUAGAUGCUUAGACCGGGCCUUCUGGGAGAGAUCUGGCCCAAGGAGCAGCCGGCAGCUUGACACAGUGACCAAUUGGAAGCACAGCAGCCACACGCCAUGAAACAAGGUGAUCAUCUUCACUCAUUUCCUGAGGCCAGAGCCUUCCUUACGCAGGACAUGGAUACCCCAGUCCCAGCUGUGCUGAAGCGUCAGGAAGCCUCCCCCGACCCCACCCUGAACAACAGUGAGGGGGGUUAGGUGUCCUCAAAAGAUCUACUCUGUCAACUGGAGUUGUUGAGAAACUCAGGAAAGGGAACUAAAAAGGAUAAGAAAGUGGUGCAUUCCAGUGUCUUCCUGUUCUCUGUUGCAGAGAGCCAGCUGGUGGACCGCAGAGACAGACUUCCAGCCAGGGCCAAGCCCUUCAGGAAGGGAGUCAUGCACCAAACUCAGCUAACAGACCACCAGGGCACCACUGGGUCUCGGAAGGAGGAGGUGCUUCACUUUCCUGAUAAGCUACCGUAAGGCCCCUUUCUGCAUGAGGCUCAGACCUGGUUCAAACUCUCCUGGCAGAAACAAUUCAACCAUGAGCUGUGCUCGAGGAGGGCAUACUCCUGGUUUUCACCUUCUGGCCAACAAUCCAAGCUGGGGAAGGAAAACAAGCUUUUGGAAGGCUCUGGGUCUCUUGCUCACUCCACUGUGUUUCACUGAAAU
rnacentral:lncRNA from 1 species